rnacentral:rRNA from 1 species
CAGUAGCCGCGGUAAUACGAAGGGGGCUAGCGUUACUCGGAAUUACUGGGCGUAAAGGGCGCGUAGGCGGCGCUCCAAGUUAGGCGUGAAAGUCCUGGGCUCAACCUGGGAACUGCGCUUAAGACUGGAGUGCUUGAGGAUGGAAGAGGGUUGUGGAAUUCCCAGUGUAGAGGUGAAAUUCGUAGAUAUUCGGAGGAACACCAGUGGCGAAGGCGGCUCACUGGUCCAUUACUGACGCUGAGGUGCGAAAGCGUGGGGAGCAAACAGGAUUAGAUACCCCCGUAGUCCCUGUCUCUUAUAC